rnacentral:rRNA from 1 species
UUCUGGUUGAUCCCGCCGGACCUGACUGCUAUCGGAUUGAUACUAAGCCAUGCGAGUCUUUGUAGUAAUACAAGGCAGACGGCUCAGUAACACGUAGUCAACCUACCCUAUGGACGAGAAUAAUCUCGGGAAACUGAGCAUAAUUCUUGAUAGAUCAUAAUGCCUGGAAUGGUUUAUGGUUAAAAUGAUUCGUCGCCAUAGGAUGGGACUGCGGCCUAUCAGCUUGUUGGUGAGGUAAUGGCCCACCAAGGCGAUUACAGGUACGGGCUCUGAGAGGAGAAGCCCGGAGAUGGGUACUGAGACACGGACCCAGGCCCUAUGGGGCGCAGCAGGCGAGAAAACUUUGCAAUGUGCGAAAGCACGACAAGGUUAAUCCGAGUGAUUUCUGCUAAAGAAAUCUUUUGCCAGUCGUAAAACCGCUGGUGAAUAAGGGGUGGGCAAGUUCUGGUGCCAGCAGCCGCGGUAAUA